rnacentral:rRNA from 1 species
GACGAACGCUGGCGGCGUGCUUAACACAUGCAAGUCGAACGAUGAAAAAGAGAAACGCGAACUUCGGUUCAAAUUUCACUUCGGAUUAGUGGCAGACGGGUGAGUAACGCGUGAGCAACCUACCUCUUACAAAGGGAUAGCCUCGGGAAACCGUGAUUAAUACCAUAUGACACAUUCAUAAGGCAUCUUAAGAAUGUUAAAGCUACGGCGGUAAGAGAUGGGCUCGCGUCCCAUUAGCUAGUUGGUGAGGUAACGGCCCACCAAGGCGACGAUGGGUAACCGGCCUGAGAGGGUGAACGGUCACAUUGGAACUGAGACACGGUCCAAACUCCUACGGGAGGCAGCAGUGGGGAAUAUUGCACAAUGGAGGGAACUCUGAUGCAGCGACGCCGCGUGAGCGAUGAAGGAAUUCGUUUCGUAAAGCUCUGUUCUAUGGGAAGAAAAGGACUGUACCAUAGGAGAAAGCCCCGGCUAAAUACGUG